UACGUAGGGUGCAAGCGUUGUCCGGAAUUAUUGGGCGUAAAGGGCUCGUAGGCGGUCCGUCACGUCGGGAGUGAAAACUUGGGGCUUAACCCCAAGCCUGCUUCCGAUACGGGCGGACUAGAGGUAGGCAGGGGAGAACGGAAUUCCUGGUGUAGCGGUGAAAUGCGCAGAUAUCAGGAAGAACACCUAUGGCGAAGGCAGCUCUCUGGGACGGUACUGACGCUGAGACGCGAAAGCGUGGGGAGCGAACAGG
rnacentral:rRNA from 1 species